rnacentral:tRNA from 1 species
GUGGCUGUAGCUCAGUUGGUAGAGCACAGGAUUGUGGCUCCUGAGGUCGCGGGUUCGAUCCCCGUCAGCCACCCCA